CUCCUGGUAGCUUAGUUGGUUUAAAGCACAAGACUGUAAUUAUCUUGGGAUCGGGUGUUCGAAUCACCCCCGGGAGA
rnacentral:tRNA from 1 species